CGGUGCACGGUGAGUGCACGAUGGUGGAACGGAAACUCCUUGUUCUUUUUGGCAGCCAGACUGGGACGGCUGAAGACACAGCCGAGAGAAUUGGCAGAGAAGCCAAGCAACGACACUUCCAGUGCAGAGUAGACGCCCUGGACAGCUAUGACGUGGCCAACCUCAUCAACGAGCUGUUGGUGGUAUUUGUGUGUGCAACCACUGGCCAGGGUGACCCACCUGACAACAUGAAGAUGUUCUGGCGGUUUCUGUUCAGGAAGAACCUGCCACCCGGUUCCCUCUGCCAGCUGGACUACGCUGUGCUGGGCCUUGGUGACUCCUCCUAUCCCAAGUUUAAUUUUGUUGCGAAGAAGCUGCACAAACGGGUGCUACAGCUUGGGGGCAACCCUCUGCUGCCAGUGGCGUUGGGAGAUGACCAGCAUGACUUGGGGCCAUAUGCAGUGGUUGAUCCAUGGCUCCUGGCCUUAUGGGACAAGAUCCUUGCCUUGUAUCCUCUCCCUCCUGGCCUUGAGAUCAUCAGCGCAGAUGUACGCCUGCCCCCAAAAUACACCCUGCACUACCUGGCUGAGGACUCCCUGCACCCCAAUGGUGACGUGCUCCAGCCAUCAGCACCCAGGGCUGUUCCCUCUGAGCUGCAUCCCUUCGCUGCCCGGAUGGUGUCUAAUCAGCGGGUGACAGCAGAAUCCCAUUUCCAGGAUGUCCGGCUCAUCGAGUUUGAUGUCACAGGCUCAGGCAUCACGUUCAGUGCAGGGGACGUGGUGAUGAUCCAGCCCCAGAACUGCCCUGAAGACGUGCAGCAGUUCUGCCAGCUCCUGCGCCUGGACCCAGACAGACGCUUUGUGCUGAAGCCCACGGAGCCCGGUACAUCCCUCCCUGCCCUCUUGCCACAGCCCUGCACCAUCUGGCACCUGGUCACUCACUACCUGGACAUCUCCUGUGUGCCACGACGCUCCUUCUUUGAGCUCUUGUCCUACUUCUCUACAAACGAGCUGGAGCAGGAGAAGCUGCAGGAGUUCAGCUCUGCGCAGGGCCAGGAAGAACUAUACAGCUACUGCAACCGGCCCCGCAGGAGCACGCUCGAGGUCAUGUGGGAUUUCCCUCACACCACGUGUGCUAUUCCACCCGAAUACCUGCUGGACCUCAUCCCUCGCAUCAGACCCCGUGCCUUCUCCAUCGCUUCCUCCAUGCUGGCUCACCCUGACCGGAUCCAGAUCCUCAUGGCCGUAGUGCAGUACAAGACGCGGCUCAGCAAACCCCGACGUGGUCUCUGCUCUACCUGGUUGGCUUCUCUCAACCCAGAGCAAGGUGAUGUCCGGGUGCCUCUUUGGGUGAAGAAAGGAGGAAUGAAGUUCCCAGCUGACCCUGAGACCCCCGUGAUCAUGAUUGGCCCUGGCACAGGGGUGGCACCUUUCCGAGCAGUGAUACAGGAGCGGGUGGCACAAGGACGUAGAGGGAACUGCUUGUUCUUUGGCUGCCGCCAGAAAUCCAAGGACUUCUACUGCCAGGCGGAGUGGGAAGAGCUGGUGACAAGGGGCUUGCUGACACUCUUCACAGCUUUCUCCAGGGACCAGUGAAGGGAGGACGUACUGCUCCCUGAAUCUGGAGAGUGGCCCCAGAGCUUCCUCCUGCCCUCGCAGGCUCUGGAGGGACAGGACUUAUAUUGGAGUGUGCCUCCCGGCCUCCCUUCUCUGCCUGCUCCGUGGGGUGAAGCAAUUUGUCACGAGAGUCUUCUGCCACUGAGUCCAUGCAGUGCCACACAGGGAGGCGAGCAGGAGCACAGCCAGGAGCUGGGAUGCUGAGCAGGAUUUCCCUCUUCGUAAGGUUCCCUUUGCAGCAACCUUCUGUCACAUCACAUCUGCCCCACGGUGCAGACUGAUUGAUCCCAGCCUAAUGCGACUGUCAGUAAUUCUCAGCAGGAUGCCCUGGGGUUUAGCUGAGAUAUCGUGACCUGAGUUUGUCACUGGAGUGCUCUCGUUUCUAGGUAGCUGCAGGUCCUUAAAUGACCUGCUUGGAGCCCCAGCCUCAACAGAGCCUCUGUCAGCACUUAGCUGAUUAAUGUUAAUGAUGCUGAAGCCGAGCUACCAGCUGGCUGUGUCGGUGCUUGUGAUGGGCUUGCUUACCUCCUGCAUCGCCGGCGGCCGAUCCGAGCAGUAAAGCUGUGCCGUGGAGCCGUGUGGGACCUGCUGACCACGCGGUGACCAGCUCUUGUGACAGCCAGGGCUGGCUGCUGCUCGGGGUUGUUCCCACGCACACCUCCAGGCUGCAGCAUGUAGGGAGCCUGAGACACAGCAAGAGCCUUGUUGCCUUUGGGGCUGGAUGUGAGGGAGGAGGACCUCGGGAGGAGGCUGCGGCCCUGGCUCAGCUCACCUCACCACUGUGCAGAGCCCGGUGUGAUGGGAUGCAGGGUGGAGGGCCUGGCCUCCAUCACAGUGUCACCUUUGUCGUGGAGGAGCCGUCAGUGCUGGCAGUGAAUUCAGGCACGUUGGCAAUGGUGUUCCUUUUGGGCAGAAGCCAGGGCCGUAGGCAGUUGCUUGGAUGCGUGAAGUCCUGUGGAUUAACCCUUUGGGAACUCUCCUUGGUCGGGCUAUGCUGUGCCAAAAGCCUGUUGUAUCCAGUCCCUAUGCACAGCAGGGAGGCAGGGAGUGGGACCAAAGCCGUCCCUCCCAGCUUUCUGCCCUUCCAAGCUGUUUCAGGUCUCCAGCAGGUGACAGGGCUGGGACCAGCAGCCAGGGAUGUGGGGAAGGGUCUCUGCCCUGCAGCAGCCUGGGCACGGGAGAAGCCACAGAGCCUCCUGUGCCCAUGCUGGGAGAGGGGAGGCAGGAGAGGCUGUUCAUCAGAGCUGGAGCAGGCAGGGGGAAGCCAAAGGUUUCAAGGGGGCUACUUGGGGUGUGUUCCCCAGUGAAGCUCCUGCUGCUGCACCCGUCUCCCACCAACCCAUCCCAGUUUGCUGACGUGAGGUGAGGGGAUCCCCUUCCCUGUGCAAUAGUGGAACCAACUGCUUCUCCCAGUGCUUCCUGCUCUGGGGGGCUGUGCUGCCCUGCACUUUUGCAAACAGCCCCUGAGAACAGUCCCCAGGGGCUGCUGCCAGGGCUGGGUGGGCUCA